CGUGUAGGCGGCUCGGCAAGUCGGGUGUGAAAGCCCUGGGCUUAACCUAGGAAGUGCACUCGAAACUGCCAAGCUUGAGUUCUGGAGAGGAAGGCGGAAUUCUCGGUGUAGAGGUGAAAUUCGUAGAUAUCGAGAGGAACACCGGUGGCGAAGGCGGCCUUCUGGACAGCAACUGACGCUGAGACGCGAAAGCGUGGGGAGCAAACAGGAUUAGAUACCCUGGUAGUCCACGCCGUAAACGAUGAGUGCUAGGUGUCGCGGGUUUUGACCCCUGCGGUGCCGUAGCUAACGCAUUAAGCACUCCGCCUGGGGAGUACGGCCGCAAGGCUAAA
rnacentral:rRNA from 1 species